GACAAACUAGAGAGAACUGCAAGGACUCAGUACAUCCCUGGCACAGUCCAUUCUCUCUCACAGCAUAUUGUAUGAGACUGUGUGAGUGCUGCUUCCACGCUACACUAAAAACCCAUGGUCCCUGCAUUAUUUGAGCAACUGACAAGCUUCUGAAGUUCAGGUUCGCGAACGCUGAGAGCAGCACCCAGUGGAUUUGUGGCAGGGAUGCACUCUAUCUGCGCAGAGGAAAACUCGUAGGACCUCC
rnacentral:lncRNA from 1 species